rnacentral:rRNA from 1 species
UCCGUAGGUGAACCAGCGGAGGGAUCAUUACUGAGUUUACGCUCUACAACCCUUUGUGAACAUACCUACAACUGUUGCUUCGGCGGGUAGGGUCUCCGCGACCCUCCCGGCCUCCCGCCUCCGGGCGGGUCGGCGCCCGCCGGAGGAUAACCAAACUCUGAUUUAACGACGUUUCUUCUGAGUGGUACAAGCAAAUAAUCAAAACUUUUAACAACGGAUCUCUUGGUUCUGGCAUCGAUGAAGAACGCAGCGAAAUGCGAUAAGUAAUGUGAAUUGCAGAAUUCAGUGAAUCAUCGAAUCUUUGAACGCACAUUGCGCCCGCCAGCAUUCUGGCGGGCAUGCCUGUUCGAGCGUCAUUUCAACCCUCAAGCUCUGCUUGGUGUUGGGGCCCUACAGCCGAUGUAGGCCCUCAAAGGUAGUGGCGGACCCUCCCGGAGCCUCCUUUGCGUAGUAACUUUACGUCUCGCACUGGGAUCCGGAGGGACUCUUGCCGUAAAACCCCCCAAUUUUCCAAAGGUUGACCUCGGAUCAGGUAGGAAUACCCGCUGAACUUAAGCAUAUCA